rnacentral:rRNA from 1 species
AGCGUACACGGUGGAUGCCCUGGCAGUCAGAGGCGAUGAAGGACGUGCUAAUCUGCGAUAAGCGUCGGUAAGGUGAUAUGAACCGUUAUAACCGGCGAUUUCCGAAUGGGGAAACCCAGUGUGAUUCGUCACACUAUCAUUAACUGAAUCCAUAGGUUAAUGAGGCGAACCGGGGGAACUGAAACAUCUAAGUACCCCGAGGAAAAGAAAUCAACCGAGAUUCCCCCAGUAGCGGCGAGCGAACGGGGAGGAGCCCAGAGCCUGAAUCAGUGUGUGUGUUAGUGGAAGCGUCUGGAAAGGCGCGCGAUACAGGGUGACAGCCCCGUACACAAAAAUGCACAUGCUGUGAGCUCGAUGAGUAGGGCGGGACACGUGGUAUCCUGUCUGAAUAUGGGGGGACCAUCCUCCAAGGCUAAAUACUCCUGACUGACCGAUAGUGAACCAGUACCGUGAGGGAAAGGCGAAAAGAACCCCGGCGAGGGGAGUGAAAAAGAACCUGAAACCGUGUACGUACAAGCAGUGGGAGCCUCUUAAUGGGGUGACUGCGUACCUUUUGUAUAAUGGGUCAGCGACUUAUAUUCUGUAGCAAGGUUAACCGAAUAGGGGAGCCGAAGGGAAACCGAGUCUUAACUGGGCGUUAAGUUGCAGGGUAUAGACCCGAAACCCGGUGAUCUAGCCAUGGGCAGGUUGAAGGUUGGGUAACACUAACUGGAGGACCGAACCGACUAAUGUUGAAAAAUUAGCGGAUGACUUGUGGCUGGGGGUGAAAGGCCAAUCAAACCGGGAGAUAGCUGGUUCUCCCCGAAAGCUAUUUAGGUAGCGCCUCGUGAAUUCAUCUCCGGGGGUAGAGCACUGUUUCGGCAAGGGGGUCAUCCCGACUUACCAACCCGAUGCAAACUGCGAAUACCGGAGAAUGUUAUCACGGGAGACACACGGCGGGUGCUAACGUCCGUCGUGAAGAGGGAAACAACCCAGACCGCCAGCUAAGGUCCCAAAGUCAUGGUUAAGUGGGAAACGAUGUGGGAAGGCCCAGACAGCCAGGAUGUUGGCUUAGAAGCAGCCAUCAUUUAAAGAAAGCGUAAUAGCUCACUGGUCGAGUCGGCCUGCGCGGAAGAUGUAACGGGGCUAAACCAUGCACCGAAGCUGCGGCAGCGACACUAUGUGUUGUUGGGUAGGGGAGCGUUCUGUAAGCCUGUGAAGGUGGCCUGUGAGGGUUGCUGGAGGUAUCAGAAGUGCGAAUGCUGACAUAAGUAACGAUAAAGCGGGUGAAAAGCCCGCUCGCCGGAAGACCAAGGGUUCCUGUCCAACGUUAAUCGGGGCAGGGUGAGUCGACCCCUAAGGCGAGGCCGAAAGGCGUAGUCGAUGGGAAACAGGUUAAUAUUCCUGUACUUGGUGUUACUGCGAAGGGGGGACGGAGAAGGCUAUGUUGGCCGGGCGACGGUUGUCCCGGUUUAAGCGUGUAGGCUGGUUUUCCAGGCAAAUCCGGAAAACCAAGGCUGAGGCGUGAUGACGAGGCACUACGGUGCUGAAGUGACAAAUGCCCUGCUUCCAGGAAAAGCCUCUAAGCAUCAGGUAACAUCAAAUCGUACCCCAAACCGACACAGGUGGUCAGGUAGAGAAUACCAAGGCGCUUGAGAGAACUCGGGUGAAGGAACUAGGCAAAAUGGUGCCGUAACUUCGGGAGAAGGCACGCUGAUAUGUAGGUGAAGCGACUUGCUCGUGGAGCUGAAAUCAGUCGAAGAUACCAGCUGGCUGCAACUGUUUAUUAAAAACACAGCACUGUGCAAACACGAAAGUGGACGUAUACGGUGUGACGCCUGCCCGGUGCCGGAAGGUUAAUUGAUGGGGUUAGCGGUAACGCGAAGCUCUUGAUCGAAGCCCCGGUAAACGGCGGCCGUAACUAUAACGGUCCUAAGGUAGCGAAAUUCCUUGUCGGGUAAGUUCCGACCUGCACGAAUGGCGUAAUGAUGGCCAGGCUGUCUCCACCCGAGACUCAGUGAAAUUGAACUCGCUGUGAAGAUGCAGUGUACCCGCGGCAAGACGGAAAGACCCCGUGAACCUUUACUAUAGCUUGACACUGAACAUUGAGCCUUGAUGUGUAGGAUAGGUGGGAGGCUUUGAAGUGUGGACGCCAGUCUGCAUGGAGCCGACCUUGAAAUACCACCCUUUAAUGUUUGAUGUUCUAACGUUGGCCCCUAAUCGGGGUUGCGGACAGUGUCUGGUGGGUAGUUUGACUGGGGCGGUCUCCUCCUAAAGAGUAACGGAGGAGCACGAAGGUUGGCUAAUCCUGGUCGGACAUCAGGAGGUUAGUGCAAUGGCAUAAGCCAGCUUGACUGCGAGCGUGACGGCGCGAGCAGGUGCGAAAGCAGGUCAUAGUGAUCCGGUGGUUCUGAAUGGAAGGGCCAUCGCUCAACGGAUAAAAGGUACUCCGGGGAUAACAGGCUGAUACCGCCCAAGAGUUCAUAUCGACGGCGGUGUUUGGCACCUCGAUGUCGGCUCAUCACAUCCUGGGGCUGAAGUAGGUCCCAAGGGUAUGGCUGUUCGCCAUUUAAAGUGGUACGCGAGCUGGGUUUAGAACGUCGUGAGACAGUUCGGUCCCUAUCUGCCGUGGGCGCUGGAGAACUGAGGGGGGCUGCUCCUAGUACGAGAGGACCGGAGUGGACGCAUCACUGGUGUUCGGGUUGUCAUGCCAAUGGCACUGCCCGGUAGCUAAAUGCGGAAGAGAUAAGUGCUGAAAGCAUCUAAGCACGAAACUUGCCCCGAGAUGAGUUCU